rnacentral:rRNA from 1 species
UUUACUACGGAGAGUUUGAUCCUGGCUCAGGACGAACGCUGGCGGCGGGCUUAACACAUGCAAGUCGAAGGAGAAGGUAGAAGCUUGCUUUUACUGGAGACUGGCGAACGGGUGAGUAACGCGUAGACAACCUGCCUUUAUCUGGGGGAUAACAGUGCGAAAGCGCUGCUAAUACCGCAUAAUGCAGCGGGGCCGCAUGGUCACAGUUGUUAAAGGUGAAAGCCGGAUAAAGAUGGGUCUGCGUGCUAUUAGCUAGUUGGUAAGGUAACGGCUUACCAAGGCGAUGAUAGCUAGGGGGUCUGAGAGGAUGAUCCCCCACACUGGGACUGAGACACGGCCCAGACUCCUACGGGAGGCAGCAGUGAGGAAUCUUGCGCAAUGGGCGAAAGCCUGACGCAGCCACGCCGCGUGCCGGAAGACGGCCCUAUGGGUUGUAAACGGCUUUUGGGUAGGAAGAAAGCCCGGGUUUCGACCUGGAUUGACGGUACUGCCUGAAUAAGCACCGGCUAACUCCGUGCCAGCAGCCGCGGUAAUACGGAGGGUGCAAGCGUUGUCCGGAAUCAUUGGGUGUAAAGGGUGCGUAGGCGGGCUACUAAGUCUGGGGUGAAAUCUUGCCGCUUAACGGUAAAAUUGCCUUGGAUACUGGUAGUCUUGAGUGUAGAAGAGGCAGGUGGAAUUCGUAGUGUAGCGGUGAAAUGCAUAGAUAUUACGAAGAACAU